UUACUGGGGCGUAAAGCGCAUGCAGGCGGCCUGUUAAGUCAGAUGUGAAAGCCCGGGGCUUAACCUCGGAAUUGCAUUUGAAACUGGCAGGCUAGAGUCUUGUAGAGGGGGUAGGAAUUUCAGGUGUAGCGGUGAAAUGCGUAGAGAUCUGAAGGAAUACCAGUGGCGAAGGCGGCCCCCUGGACAAAGACUGACGCUCAGAUGCGAAAGCGUGGGGAGCAAACAGGAUUAGAUACCCUGGUAG
rnacentral:rRNA from 1 species